rnacentral:rRNA from 1 species
GGGUAAAUAAACCUUACACGUGUGGAGCUUGUAUGUACCUUAUGAAUAAGCAUCGGCUAACUCCGUGCCAGCAGCCGCGGUAAUACGGAGGAUGCGAGCGUUAUCCGGAUUUAUUGGGUUUAAAGGGAGCGCAGACGGGUCGUUAAGUCAGCUGUGAAAGUUUGGGGCUCAACCUUAAAAUUGCAGUUGAUACUGGCGUCCUUGAGUGCGGUUGAGGUGUGCGGAAUUCGUGGUGUAGCGGUGAAAUGCUUAGAUAUCACGAAGAACUCCGAUUGCGAAGGCAGCACACUAAGCCGUAACUGACGUUCAUGCUCGAAAGUGUGGGUAUCAAACAGGAUUAGAUACCCUGGUAGUCCACACGGUAAACGAUGGAUACUCGCUGUUGGCGAUAUACAGUCAGCGGCUUAGCGAAAGCGUUAAGUAUCCCACCUGGGGAGUACGCACGCAAGUGUGAAACUCAAAGGAAUUGACGGGGGCCCGCACAAGCGGUGGAGUAUGUGGUUUAAUUCGAUGCAACGCGAAGAACCUUACCAGGACUUGACA